rnacentral:lncRNA from 1 species
CUUGGAACUCCACCUCAUAUUAGGCUCCCUCUGGCUCUUGAAGCAUACAACAAGGGAAGAGAGUUUUCGUGAUGAAUUUAUUUGCGAUGAAAAAAAUGUUCAUUGUAAAUCAACGAUGAAUCCAAAUUUUUAUCGAUAAUUAAAAAAUAUUUACGAUGAUUCUAAAUUUUUGUGACAAAUAAAAAAUAUUAACGAUAAAAAUAAUAAUUUUAUCAUAAUAAAGAA